rnacentral:tRNA from 1 species
UGCGGGGUGGUGUAAGGGUAGCACGCAGGGCUCUGGACCCUGAGGUUCUGGUUCAAAUCCAGACCCCGCAGCUA